rnacentral:rRNA from 1 species
GACGAACGCUGGCGGCGUGCUUAACACAUGCAAGUCGAACGGAAAGGCCCUGCUUUUGUGGGGUGCUCGAGUGGCGAACGGGUGAGUAACACGUGAGUAACCUGCCCUUGACUUUGGGAUAACUUCAGGAAACUGGGGCUAAUACCGGAUAGGAGCUCCUGCUGCAUGGUGGGGGUUGGAAAGUUUCGGCGGUUGGGGCUGGACUCGCGGCUUAUCAGCUUGUUGGUGGGGUAGUGGCUUACCAAGGCUUUGACGGGUAGCCGGCCUGAGAGGGUGACCGGCCACAUUGGGACUGAGAUACGGCCCAGACUCCAACGGGAGGCAGCAGGGGGGAAUAUGGCACAAUGGGCGGAAGCCUGAUGCAGCAACGCCGCGUGCGGGAUGACGGCCUUCGGGUGGUAAACCGCUGUCGCCUGUAACGAAGCGUGAGUGACGGUAAUGGGUAAAGAAGCACCGGCUAACUACGUG